rnacentral:rRNA from 1 species
CCUAANCAUGCAGUCGAGCGGUAGCACAGGAGAGCUUGCUCUCUGGGUGACGAGUGGAAGGGCGGGUGAGUAAUGUCUGGGAAACUGCCUGAUGGGGGGGGUAACUACUGGAAACGGUAGCUAAUACCGCAUAACGUCUACGGACCAAAGUGGGGGACCUUCGGGUAAAGGAGGCAUCAGAUGUGCCCAGAUGGGAUUAGCUAGUAGGUGGGGUAAUGGCUCACCUAGGCGACGAUCCCUAGCUGGUCUGAGAGGAUGACCAGCCACACUGGAACUGAGACACGGUCCAGACUCCUACGGGAGGCAGCAGUGGGGAAUAUUGCACAAUGGGCGCAAGCCUGAUGCAGCCAUGCCGCGUGUGUGAAGAAGGCCUUCUGGUUGUAAAUCACUUCCAGCGAGG